CCAACAGGGAUUGCCUUAGUAACGGCGAGUGAAGCGGCAAAAGCUCAAAUUUGAAAUCUAACGCCUCUGGUGUUCGAGUUGUAAUUUGGAGAGGCAUCUUCCGGAGUGGCCCAGCCUAUGUACCUUGGAACAGGACGUCAUAGAGGGUGAGAAUCCCGUUCUUGGCUGGAUGUUCACUCCCGUAUGUAGUGUCUUCUACGAGUCGAGUUGUUUGGGAAUGCAGCUCAAAAUGGGUGGUAAAUUUCAUCUAAAGCUAAAUAUUGGCGAGAGACCGAUAGCGCACAAGUAGAGUGAUCGAAAGAUGAAAAGCACUUUGAAAAUAGAGUCAAACAGUACGUGAAAUUGUUGAAAGGGAAGCGCUUGAGACCAGAGUCAGCCUUUGGCAAACAACUGUCCUUCUGGGCGGUGCACUUGUCAUUGGUUGAGCCAGCAUCGGUUGGGACGGUGGGAUAAAGGCUUGGGAAAUGUGACUCCUUUAUGGAGUGUUAUAGUCCCAGGUGGCAU
rnacentral:rRNA from 1 species